UCCUGCAUUAUGUAGUUUCAAUGAAUGUUUCAUUGUUGUAAAAUUGCAACAUUUCUUUGAAAUUUCCUUUCCGACUUGUAGUGAUUUCUGAUAUUUCCAUUAUUUGAGUCACUAAUCACCAGAUGUUACAUAAUAGUGAUAAUUUGUAAACACAUAAUGGCGUAUAGUAAGAUCUUGAUUGCAUUAAUCCUUAUACAUGACGCAGAGUUCAUUAUUCUCGCAUUAUAAUCGUUGAAAUAUAUCACUGGUGCUGUAUGUGAAUCAAAUAAUUUAUAAAUAUACUUCUCCUUUUCAUUUUUCCUAAGUACUUGCUAUUAUGCCGACAAAAGAUUAAUUUCAAAUUCUUUCUUGCACCUCUAUUAUCGCUACUUAUUGCUUUGUUAAUUUUCCAACUAUUUUCUUAUCAUCAGAAAUGUAGGUUUUUUCUAUUGUUUCGUAAUAGAGCGGAAAACAGUAGCAGGAAUCUAAUUCUGUCAAAGAAAAUAUUAUUAUUUCAAAUUGUGCGAAUGAUUCAUUAUGGCACGCACUGAGGAUGUUUCAUAUUGAUAUCGUGAUUUUCAAUUAUUGGAAAAUCAAUUGGACAUGGAAGUGGAGAAAGGAAAUCAGGAGCCUGGAGUUACUUAAAACGCAGCGAAGGCAUACAAAAUUAAAUAAUGAAGAUUUAUGAAAAAUGAAACUCCCACACUGGAUAUCACACGUAUUUUGAAGCAAUCAUGGGAAUCACAACAAUUUUUACCAAUAGAAAAAUACUUUUCCCUGUACGUUUCAUGUGUUAUUCAUUAUUUCAAUGUUUAUAAAUCAUUCUAAAUACUGAAAA